AAUAUUUUUAAGUGUAUUUAUUUUCAUUUGCUAGCUUGGUGAUUUAUGGGUUUGUUUUAUUUUCUUUUUUUCCCCCUUUCAGAAGAGAGAAUGAGCACCUUGAGCUCGAGCGCUGCCGACUGCAGGGUGGCUGGAGUUGGGUGUUCUGCUCACAGGCAGAAGAAAACCACUUCAAGACAUCAAGAAGAGCCAACUGAGCCUAAUCCCAUUUUCCCUAGGACCUGGCAGCCAUUCAGGACUGCUUCUAUUGUAUUUACGUGGAAUUUGGUCACCUGUGGCUUCAGGCAGCCCAAAUCUCUCAGGAUGUGCAGGACAGGGAUGUGUUCCCGUUUCACACGAGGCCUCACGCUGAGGCUCCACAGUUGGCAUCAGUGCCCAAGAGCAGAUCUACAGUAUGAAUGUCCUUCCUGGAGGUAUUUCUGCAGAUGUGGAAGAAGGACCAACCCAGCUGAUUGUGGGGGAUUACAGCUAUUAACCAGGUUGCCAUGAAGUGUCGGAGCUGCCUGGAAGGCCAUAACCAAACGACUGCCAGCUCGGCUGCCAUCGAUUUUCACGGAGCAGGACCCAGCCCUGGGUAAUAAAGUGUAAAAACACGAUUCCCCCA
ensembl:lncRNA